CUAGCACCAAUCUAUCUCUCUGUUUAUCGGCAAGAACACACGGGUCCUGGCUUUGGGCAGCGCCACAGUACCAGUUUUCGGAUAUCGAAUUCUUCUUUCUCUCAUUGAUCUGGAUUGGAGAUUAGGGAUUUCAAUCUGCUGUGGCUGAUCUUGGUUCAGCUGAGGGUUUUAAGGAGGAAGCUGUUAAGGACUUUGACGCGAGACGAGCAUCUUGAUGUCGAGUUUGGACCGGAUACGAUUCUUUCCAUUUGGAGGCGGGAACUUUGACUUAUGUCUUUUGAUAUGCAAGAUAAAGUGUUUAACAUAUAGCAAGAAUUGUGUUUCCAUUUGAUUCGGUUGGUCACUACAUGAUAUGUUACA